AUUAGCUAGUUGGUGAGGUAAUGGCUCACCAAGGCGACGAUCCGUAACUGGUCUGAGAGGAUGAUCAGUCACACUGGAACUGAGACACGGUCCAGACUCCUACGGGAGGCAGCAGUGGGGAAUAUUGGACAAUGGGCGAAAGCCUGAUCCAGCCAUGCCGCGUGUGUGAAGAAGGUCUUCGGAUUGUAAAGCACUUUAAGUUGGGAGGAAGGGUUGUAGAUUAAUACUCUGCAAUUUUGACGUUACCGACAGAAUAAGCACCGGCUAACUCUGUGCCAGCAGCCGCGGUAAUACAGAGGGUGCAAGCGUUAAUCGGAAUUACUGGGCGUAAAGCGCGCGUAGGUGGUUCGUUAAGUUGGAUGUGAAAGCCCCGGGCUCAACCUGGGAACUGCAUUCAAAACUGACGAGCUAGAGUAUGGUAGAGGGUGGUGGAAUUUCCUGUGUA
rnacentral:rRNA from 1 species